GUAUAUAAUUGGCAAACCUUCUGAAAAGAAGGGACGCAAAGCUAUGGGUCUAAGGACGAUUAAGUCUAUGAUUGCCAGGUUGCAUUU
rnacentral:ncRNA from 1 species